UACGGAGGGUGCAAACGUUGCUCGGAAUUAUUGGGCGUGAAGCGCACGUAGGCGGUCCGACAAGUCGGGAGUGAAAUCCCUCGGCUUAACCGAGGAAGUGCUUUCGAAACUAUCGGACUUGAAUACCGGAGAGGGUCGCGGAAUUCCCGGUGUAGAGGUGAAAUUCGUAGAUAUCGGGAGGAACACCAGUGGCGAAGGCGGCAUCCUGGACCGGCAUUGACGCUGAGUGAGCGAAAGCCAGGGGAGCAAACGGG
rnacentral:rRNA from 1 species